rnacentral:misc_RNA from 1 species
AUGCAUCCGAUAUUGAUCUUCUUCCAAACCGAAAGGACUCUUUGCCUCCUUUAAUACCAAAAUAAAUUAAGCAGCUCUUAAGCAUAUCUAAUCGUCUCAAACAAAGUGAAUACAAAUACAUGCAGCAUAAUUGCUCGGCAAAAAAGUAUAUGGAUAUACUUUCAAAUGGCACGCAAGUACAAUCAAACCACACAUAACAAAAGAAACUACUACUUGUGCUAGCUAAACAUGCAUGGUUUCCUAGUGUAUCAUCCACGCUAUUAUCUACUGGUCUCAUUUUCCAUUUUAAUUACUUUAACAGGAGUAAAACAGCUUAUACAAGGCAAGUACACAACCCAUUUGCCACACUAUCGGUAAACACAAAGCAAAUUACAAGUUCCAUUAAGAUAAGAGAAGCAUCAUCACUUGCCAUCUCAACAAAUCAAUAGAAAAUUUUCAAUUUUUGGCUUUGCUUAGGGUAUGCAAGGCAAAAUCGACUACUACAGAAGCCUGCUUGUGAUAACUAAAUUUGGGUAAAUUAGUUCACACUCCAAAGUAAUUUGUUCAAGAUAAUUUCAUAUAAAAUCAACAGGGUUACCCCUCUUUUAAAAUAUUGUUUAAGAUCAUAAUAAUCAUGAUAAAAUCAUACUUGGGUUAAAUUAACAAAUCUAGUAACCAUAUUUGGGUAAGCAUGUAUGGUUAUCCUGUGCUGGCCAAUACCCAUGCAUAAAUGUACGUCAACAACGACCUAAAAUGUCAUUAUCCAAAGCGGCAAAAGCAAUAAUUCACCUAAAUAAAGGAAUUCAAUUAUCAUUCCAUUAUCCAAUUGCCAGGCGGACCAACACCGCUAAAUGACAGAAUUAACCUCACUCUUGGCGCUAAGCUAGCUACUUACUCUUGGCCAUUUCUAGAAAACGCCCAUUUCCAGUAUCUUAGGAGAGGUCAUUUUAGGCAUUUGGUAAAAAGACAGGGGCAUAAUUAUCAUUCGAUUAGAUCGAAGGCAAACCUUACCAGAAAAGGGGGAUACCGGAGGA